GAACUUUCCAGAGAUGGAUUGGUGCCUUCGGGAACUGUGAGACAGGUGCUGCAUGGCUGUCGUCAGCUCGUGUUGUGAAAUGUUGGGUUAAGUCCCGCAACGAGCGCAACCCUUAUCCUUUGUUGCCAGCGGUCCGGCCGGGAACUCAAAGGAGACUGCCAGUGAUAAACUGGAGGAAGGUGGGGAUGACGUCAAGUCAUCAUGGCCCUUACGACCAGGGCUACACACGUGCUACAAUGGCGCAUACAAAGAGAAGCGACCUCGCGAGAGCAAGCGGACCUCAUAAAGUGCGUCGUAGUCCGGA
rnacentral:rRNA from 1 species